GCCUGGGUAGCUCAGUUGGUAGAGCAAAGGACUGAAAAUCCUUGUGUCGGGGGUUCAAUUCCCUCUCCAGGCACCA
rnacentral:tRNA from 2 species